GUCUUAUACUCUAGUGUGGGGAUAUUCUAGGUCUUAUACUCUACUUUGGGGAUAUUCGAGGUCUUAUACUCUAGUGUGGGGAUACUCUAGGUCUUAUACUCUACUUUGGGGAUAUUCGAGGUCUUAUGCUCUAGUGUAGUGACACUCUAGUGUGAGGAUACUCUAGUGUGGAGAUACUCUAGUGUGUGGGAUUUUCUAGGUCUUGUACUCUAGUGUGGGGAUAGUAUAGGUCUUAUACUUCAGUGUGGGGAUAUUCUAGUGUGGGGAUAUUCUAGGUCUUAUACUCUAGUGUAGUGACACUCUAGUGUGAGGAUACUCUAGUGUGGAGAUACUCUAGUGUGUGGGAUAUUCUAGGUCUUAUACUGUAGUGUGGGAAUAGUAUAGGUCUUAUACUUUAGUGUGGGGAUACUCUAGUGUGGGGAUACUCAAGGUCUUAUACUCUAGUGUGGGGAUAAUCUAGGUCUUAUACUCUAGUGUGGGGAUAAUCUAGGUCUUAUACUUUAGUGUGGGGAUACUCAAGUGUGGGGAUAGUAUAGGUCUUGUACUCUAGCGUGGGGAUACUCUAGCUCUUAUACUCUAGUGUGGAGAUUCUCUAGUGUGGGGAUACUCUAGUAUAGGGAUAUUCUAGGUCUUAUACUCUAGUGCGGUGACAUUCUAGGUCUUAUACUCUAGUGUGGGGAUACUCUAGUGUGGGGAUAGUAUAGGUCUUAUACUUUAGUGUGGGGAUACUCUAGUGUGGGGAUACUCAAGGUCUUAUACUCUAGUGUGGGGAUAAUCUAGGUCUUAUACUCUAGUGUGGGGAUAAUCUAGGUCUUAUACUUUAGUGUGGGGAUACUCAAGUGUGGGGAUAGUAUAGGUCUUGUACUCUAGCGUGGGGAUACUCUAGCUCUUAUACUCUACUGUGGAGAUUCUCUAGUGUGGGGAUACUCUAGUAUAGGGAUAUUCUAGGUCUUAUACUCUAGUGCGGUGACAUUCUAGGUCUUAUACUCUAGUGUGGGGAUA